rnacentral:rRNA from 1 species
AAGUCGUAACAAGGUUUGUCCCGCUCCGGGCAGCAUCCGUGUGAAUUCAUUCCGGCACCUGAUUCACCUGCUUGAAGCCUUCAUCGCAGCGACUGAAAAGAACUGCUCGAGGGGUCUGCAUGUAGCAGGCAACACCGUUCAAGAGCCUGGAAUUGUCGACGACCUCGGUCGUUGCACAUACCAGCUGCCGGCGGCGCCUUCGGGGGGCGGUCGCCGGUUCACAGAUCAAUCGACGGUGGUCAUUGUUUGACCGGAAGAGUUGGGGCGACUUCGUCUGGCAGACGCUGAUUGAGAUAUGAUCGGUCCGCGCCGAAACGGCGCCGGAACCAACGUUCCGUAGGUGAACCUGCGGAAGGAUCAUU